GGGGGCGACCUGGCUUCGACGGGAUUAGUUGAGGCUUCAGUUGCGUGCCGAGGUUCCGAGGCCCUCGUUAAACCCGGACUACAACAACUGCAGACGAAUACAAUAUGCCUGCAAUGGCAAUGGCUGCCUAGUGUAGCGUUGUCAGCAUAACCGGGGACCAUAAACUCCCCGGCGUUCAAUGUGUGCUUUGUCCAUGAGCCGCUGCGAACGUCAUUAACGUGGACUAGCGGCUUUUCAUGUGCGGGGUUGAGUCGCGAAAUCUCAACUGCACUCGCGUGUUCUUGAUUUUGUCGGUGGGAGCCUGAACAUGUCAAAAUAACACAUCGACUACGCAUGUAGACGCUGGACGCUGAAUAAUUUCGGACCGGGGUUCGAUUCCCCGCGCCUCCACCA
rnacentral:tmRNA from 1 species